rnacentral:rRNA from 1 species
GAUGAACGCUGGAGGAGUGCAUAAAACAUGCAAGACGAGCAAACGGAAGAAAAAAUAAAUUAAAUGAUAUUAAAGAAGGAAGGAAAAAUCAAACAUGGAUAAACUAACUAUAAGACUGGGAUAACUUCGGGAAACCGGAGCUAAUACCGGAUAAUAUUUUGAACCGCAUGGUUCAAAAGUGAAAGACGGUCUUGCUGUCACUUAUAGAUGGAUCCGCGCUGCAUUAGCUAGUUGGUAAGGUAACGGCUUACCAAGGCAACGAUGCAUAGCCGACCUGAGGGGGUGAUCGGCCACACUGGAACUGAGACACGGUCCAGACUCCUACGGGAGGCAGCAGUAGGGAAUCUUCCGCAAUGGGCGAAAGCCUGACGGAGCAACGCCGCGUGAGUGAUGAAGGUCUUCGGAUCGUAAAACUCUGUUAUUAGGGAAGAACAUAUGUGUAAGUAACUGUGCACAUCUUGACGGUACCUAAUCAGAAAGCCACGGCUAACUACGUG